UACGUAGGGUGCGAGCGUUAAUCGGAAUUACUGGGCGUAAAGCGUGCGCAGGCGGUUGUGUAAGACAGGUGUGAAAUCCCCGGGCUUAACCUGGGAACUGCGCUUGUGACUGCACGACUCGAGUGUGGCAGAGGGGGGUGGAAUUCCACGUGUAGCAGUGAAAUGCGUAGAGAUGUGGAGGAACACCGAUGGCGAAGGCAGCCCCCUGGGUUAACACUGACGCUCAUGCACGAAAGCGUGGGUAGCAAACAGG
rnacentral:rRNA from 1 species